AGUGAACGCUGGCGGUAGGCCUAACACAUGCAAGUCGAACGGCAGCACAGUAAGAGCUUGCUCUUACGGGUGGCGAGUGGCGGACGGGUGAGGAAUACAUCGGAAUCUACUUUUUCGUGGGGGAUAAAGUAGGGAAACUUACGCUAAUACCGCAUACGACCUACGGGUGAAAGCAGGGGAUCUUCGGACCUUGCGCGAUUGAAUGAGCCGAUGUCGGAUUAGCUAGUUGGCGGGGUAAAGGCCCACCAAGGCGACGAUCCGUAGCUGGUCUGAGAGGAUGAUCAGACACACUGGGACUGAGACACGGUCCAGACUCCUACGGGAGGCAGCAGUAGGGAAUAUUGGACGAUGGGCGCAAGGCUGAUCCAGCCAUGCCGCGUGGGUGAAGAAGGCAUUCGGGUUGUAAAGCCCUUUUGUUAGGAAAGAAAAGCAGCAGGUUAAUACGCCGCUGUUCUGACGGUACCCAAAGAAUAAGCACCGGCUAACUUCGUG
rnacentral:rRNA from 1 species